AAACAAAUGCCAAAAUCCCGCAUCUUUGAAAAUCAAAGUCGAUAUGUCGGUAACUCUGACGCUGCCUACAUUCACUCUAGAGCCCACUGAAGUAUAAACAAGAUGAGAGUGCAACUCUUUUGGUACUGACAAGGGAUAUUGCCAGGACAACCAUGGAUUCGAUGAGGCUAUAUGGUGUGUUGCGGCUCGUGGUUGUGGGCUUCUUGGUGCUUCCAGCGGUGGCGUUGGGCGGCAGCGGUCCACGGAGAUGCGAGUUUCCAGCAAUAUUCAACUUUGGAGACUCAAACUCGGACACCGGAGGAAGAUCUGCCGCAUUGUCAGAGGUUCAUCAACCCAAUGGAGAAACCUUCUUUGGACAUCCUUCGGGAAGGGUUUGUGAUGGCCGUCUCAUCUUAGAUUUGAUAGCCGAGGAGCUGAAAUCACCAUACCUGAGUGCAUACUUGGACUCGAUCGGGACGGAUUUCAGGCAUGGUGCAAAUUUUGCAACAGGAGGUUCAUCCAUUCGUCCAGGCGGGUAUAGUCCAUUCCAUCUCUGGAUUCAGAUGUCCCAGUUCAUGCGUUUUAAAUCUCAAACAGAAGCUCUGUAUAACAAUCAACUUGACCCUAGCAGAAAGAUCCCAUCAGUCAAAAGCAGCCUCCCAAGGCCUAAGGACUUCUCAAAGGCUCUUUACAUAUUUGAUAUUGGACAGAACGAUCUGGCCUAUGGUUUUCAAUACACAACAGUAGAACAAGUUCGACUUUCCAUCCCUGAUAUGUUAAGCCAGUUGUCCCAAGCAGUGCAUCAAUUGUACAAGGAAGGUGCAAGAAUAUUUUGGGUACAUAAUACAGGCCCAAUCGGUUGCUUGCCAAAAAGUGUAAUAAAUGACCGAUCUAAGCCUGGUAAUCUGGAUCAAAAUGGGUGCGUGAAGCCUCAGAAUGAGAUAGCUCAGGAGUUCAACAGGCAGCUCAAGGACAUGGUGUUUAAACUGAGGGCACAGCUCUUUGAUGCAGCAUUGACACAUGUCGACAUGUAUUCCGCUAAAUAUGCACUAAUCAGCAAUGCAAAGAAUGAAGGUUUUGUCGAUCCAUUUGAGUUCUGUUGUGGGAGUUACUAUGGAUACUCUAUUGAUUGUGGGAAGAAAGAAAUAGUUAAUGGAACGGUUUAUGGUAAUCUAUGUCAGAAUCCAUCAAGGCACGUUAGCUGGGAUGGCAUACACUACUCUGAGUCAGCCAACCUAUGGAUUGCAAACCGAAUUCUCAAUGGCUCCUUCUCUGACCCACCAGUUUCAAUUCGGGAGGCAUGUUAUCAUCCCAAGAAUUUAUCUUCUUUCACCUCGAGACAACUGCAGUCCAUCUACAACCACCAAACCAAGUGUAUAAAGGUUUGAAAGCAGUGCAUGAAACUUGCCUUGGUAUUAGUAGUACAGCGUGGCGGAAUCUUGAAUAGCAGUUGUUGUAUCACAGCUCGUGGCUGUUGGAAAUUGAAAUCGGGUUGGUGUCGAGGAGUGUAACUAGUGAUCUGGUUUUCCUGUUCCGGACCCUGCCGGCUUCUCUCAACAACUCUGCUAACCUCCGCCUCUCGUCAUCCACAUCAGGAUUUGCUGUUCCUAGCUUCUCUUCUCUCAUUCCAACGAGAUAUUCCAAAAUUCCAAUGGCAUCAUCCAGCCUGCCAAAUUUUAAAGUUGGAAAGCACAAAAAUAUUAUUACAAAGUUUAAAUAAAGAGAAUCUGUACUUAGAUUGUA